rnacentral:rRNA from 1 species
AUGGGACCAUGCAACCCUCCUCGGAAGAAUUUUCCAUUUGCAAUUAUUAUAGUUGUAACCAAAAAAUAUGAGCGGUGGUUUUGUAAAUUUCAUUUGGUUAUUCCAUUAUCUCGGCAUUUGUUGUUUAUCCCGUUCGAGGCACACCGUAUAUCCUAUUGGCAUUCGGCAGGUCAACUUGCAUCCACUCAUCAUGAGUCAAACCAUCCCCUUCAUCAACAGAAAAAGAUGUCCACAGCUCCUUCCCUAGGGGCUGCCCACAUGCAAGUGGUCGGAAUGGACGCAGGAGCAAGCAUGUGUCGACAUCAUAUCACUGCCCAACACUGGCUUCAUUAA